UACGGAGGGGGCUAGCGUUGUUCGGAAUUACUGGGCGUAAAGCGCACGUAGGCGGCUUUGUAAGUUAGAGGUGAAAGCCCGGAGCUCAACUUCGGAAUUGCCUUUAAGACUGCAUCGCUUGAAUCAUGGAGAGGUCAGUGGAAUUCCGAGUGUAGAGGUGAAAUUCGUAGAUAUUCGGAAGAACACCAGUGGCGAAGGCAAUCCCCUGGGCCUGUACUGACGCUCAUGCACGAAAGCGUGGGGAGCAAACAGG
rnacentral:rRNA from 1 species